CGCUAAAGGACAAAAAGACCCUUUGAAGCUUUAUAGGGAUAGAACUUGGGUAACAUCGCGAUCUAAAUUAUCUUAUAAAUGCUACCUUACAUAGAAUCGGGAGUACGGCAGACGUUAUUCUCCCAGCUAAAGUGGUGGAGAUCGCAGGCAAGCUGCUCAGACUUAGACCUCACUCCGUUUGAAACGAUAUAAAUGGUAGACGUUAUUCUAUAGACCACUGUUUAAUUGGGGCGAUGACCUUAUCCACAGCCACCUAAGGUGAACAAAGCGAUACAAGGAUCCUAAAUACUAAUUUGACCAACUAAUAAGUGCAAAGAUACAUGUUUUGCUUAAUGGCCCGGUGAGUCCUUCCCAGUACUUAAAUGCUGUCUUAGUGAGCUUUAAAUUAAUGUACCCGAGUGAAGCUACUCUACGGAUAACAGGCUUAAUUUCCGCAAUAUUUAAGGUCACAUUAUCAAGAAAAAUGCACAUCGAUGUCGGCUUAUCAUCCCAAAAUAGGUAGCUGGAUAAUUGGUGGGAGUGCUCAUCCCGUAAAUCGGUACGUGAGCUGGGUUCAGAACGAUGUAAAUCAGUUUGGUCUAUAUCUUUAAUCAUACACCACAAAUCAUGGCAUUAUUUUCUCAGUACGCAAGGACCAGAAAGAUUAAGC
rnacentral:rRNA from 1 species